GACGAACGCUAGCGGCGUGCUUAACACAUGCAAGUCGAACGGAAAGGCCCUGCUUUUGUUGCUUGCUCGAGUGGCGAACGGGUGCGUAACACGUUAAUACCCUGCCCUUGACUUUGGGAUUUCUUCAGGACACUGGGGCUAUUACCCUAUAGGCGCUCCUUCUGCAUGGUGGGGGUUGGAAAGUUUCGGCGGUUGUGGAUGGACUCGCGGCUUAUCAGCUUGUUGGUGUGGUAGUGGCUUACCAAGGCUUUGACGGGUAGCCGGCCUGAGAGGGUGACCGGCAAAAUUGGGAAUGAGAUACGGCACGGAGUAGUAAGGGAGGCAGCAGUGGGGAAUAGUGCAUGAUGGGCGGAAGCAGGAUGCAGCAACGCCGCGUGCGGGAUGAUGGACUUCGGGUUGUAAACCGCUUUCGCCUGUGACGAAGAGUGAGUGAAGGUAAUGGGUAAAGAAGCACCGGCUAAUUACGUG
rnacentral:rRNA from 1 species